ensembl:lncRNA
CUGGAGCGCACCUGGUCUUGAGCACCAUUAUCCAGCUACCCUGGACUGUUGUGCUCUUCCUGUCUCUACCUUCCUUUCCACCUAGAGAUAGAUACAGAGUGAGAGCCUCAGUUGGUGGAUACAGAGUGAGAGCCUCAGUUGGUGGACUUGCUGUGCUCUUGAACAUUGGGUGCCUGAACUGGAGUUCCCCUAAAGCAAGCUAUGUAGUGCACAAGGGGGUUUCAUCCAGAAGCGGAGAAGAAAUAGCCCUGAGAUUAAAAAAUUAAGAACCAGCCAGAUGAAGAGACUUCGUUGUUGGCCACAUAAUAGGGUGCACCCUAGUGGCUCAACUGAAGAUCUCCCUGAGGAGCAGCUUGAGGAGCGAUCCAUUUCAACGUUGGAGGAAGAGGCUCUGCCCUACUCCAUAGCGCAUGAACAAGCCAGUGAACACGCUCCCCAGGAGGACAUGGCGGUGGAACUGUCCCAGGACCAGGCUGCGGAAGAGCCUCUGGACACUGUGAACGAAUCUGGGGAAGCCAAUGAACAUGCUCCCCAGGAGCACCUGGUGUUGGAACCGCCCCAGGCCGGGGCUGAGGAACCCCUCUGCAUCCCCCUGGAGGCAGCCAGGGCAGCCAGUGAACACGGUUUCACUGAGGACCUGCCAGUCAACCCAACUUGUGACAGCACCGAAGAGACUCCAUGUGUCUCCAAGGAAAGUUGGUUUUUUUUUUUCCUGGUCUAAGAUAGAAAUAUUGUUUCCUUUCUUUUUCAGUAGAAUUAAGUUAUGAGUCUUUGAAGGUGUUCGCUUCAGAUAGAGACAAUUCCCUUGGUUGGGAUAAUGUGGAGUGAGACACUUAUUACCAAAUCAUGACGCCUCAGUCCACAGGAUAUUAAAAUUGUUAGCAUCCAUUACACCCUGUCGAGUACAGAUUUCUCUCUCCUGCAG